rnacentral:rRNA from 1 species
AUUGAACGCUGGCGGCAGGCCUAACACAUGCAAGUCGAGCGGUAGAGAGAAGCUUGCUUCUCUUGAGAGCGGCGGACGGGUGAGUAAUGCCUAGGAAUCUGCCUGGUAGUGGGGGAUAACGUUCGGAAACGGACGCUAAUACCGCAUACGUCCUACGGGAGAAAGCAGGGGACCUUCGGGCCUUGCGCUAUCAGAUGAGCCUAGGUCGGAUUAGCUAGUUGGUGAGGUAAUGGCUCACCAAGGCGACGAUCCGUAACUGGUCUGAGAGGAUGAUCAGUCACACUGGAACUGAGACACGGUCCAGACUCCUACGGGAGGCAGCAGUGGGGAAUAUUGGACAAUGGGCGAAAGCCUGAUCCAGCCAUGCCGCGUGUGUGAAGAAGGUCUUCGGAUUGUAAAGCACUUUAAGUUGGGAGGAAGGGCAGUAAAUUAAUACUUUGCUGUUUUGACGUUACCGACAGAAUAAGCACCGGCUAACUCUGUGCCAGCAGCCGCGGUAAUACAGAAGGUGCAGGCGUUAAUCCGAAUUACGGGGCGUAAAGCGCGCCGAAGUGGGUUGGUUAAUUGGGAUGUAAAUCCCCCGGGGUCAACCGGGGACUGUCAUUUCAAACUGACUGAAUUAAGUAUGGUUAAAGGGGGGGGGAAUUUCCUGUGUAGCGGGAAAAUGCGUGAUAUGGAAGGGAACCCCCGUGGGGAAGGGACCCCCCUGGACUAAUACUGCCAUUGAGGUGGGAAAGCUGGGGAGCAAACGGGAUUAGAUACCCUGGUAGUCCCCGCUUGUAAAGAAUUUCAACUAGCCCGUGGAAGCCUUAGCUUUUAGUGGCGCAGCUAACGCAUUAAGUUGACCCGCCCUGGGGAGUACGCCCCCCAAGGUUAAACUUCAAAUGAAUUGACGGGGGCCCGCACAAGCGGUGGAGCAUGGGGUUUAAUUCGAAGCAACGCGAAGAACCUUACCAGGCCUUGACAUCCAAUGAACUUUCUAGAGAUAGAUUGGUGCCUUCGGGAACAUUGAGACAGGUGCUGCAUGGCUGUCGUCAGCUCGUGUCGUGAGAUGUUGGGUUAAGUCCCGUAACGAGCGCAACCCUUGUCCUUAGUUACCAGCACGUCAUGGUGGGCACUCUAAGGAGACUGCCGGUGACAAACCGGAGGAAGGUGGGGAUGACGUCAAGUCAUCAUGGCCCUUACGGCCUGGGCUACACACGUGCUACAAUGGUCGGUACAGAGGGUUGCCAAGCCGCGAGGUGGAGCUAAUCCCACAAAACCGAUCGUAGUCCGGAUCGCAGUCUGCAACUCGACUGCGUGAAGUCGGAAUCGCUAGUAAUCGCGAAUCAAAAUGUCGCGGUGAAUACGUUCCCGGGCCU